GACGAACGCUGGCGGCGUGCUUAACACAUGCAAGUCGAACGGAAAGGCUCCAGCUUGCUGGAGUACUCGAGUGGCGAACGGGUGAGUAACACGUGGGUAAUCUGCCCUGCACUCUGGGAUAAGCCUGGGAAACUGGGUCUAAUACUGGAUAUGACCUUUCUCCUUAUGGGGUUUGGUGGAAAGUUUUGCGGUGUAGGAUGAGCCCGCGGCCUAUCGGCUUGUUGGGGGGGUGAUGGGCUCCGAAGGCGGCGACGGGUAGCCGGCCUGGGCGGGGGACCGGCCACAUUGGGACUGCGCUACGGCCCAGACUCCGACGGGAGGAAGCAGUGGGGAAUGUUGCCCACUGGGCGGAAGCCUGAGGCAGCGACGCCGCGUGCGGGAUGACGGCCUUCGGGUUGUAGAGCGCUUGCGCCUGUGACGAAGGGUGAGUGACGGUAAUGGGAAAAGAAGCACCGGCUAACUACGUG
rnacentral:rRNA from 1 species